UACAGAGGUGGCAAACGUUGUCCGGAUUUAUUGGGUGUAAAGGGCAUGUAGGUGGUUCUAUAAGUCAAAGGUGAAAUGGCCCGGCUCAACCAGGUCAUUGCCUUUGAAACUGCAGAACUUGAGUACGGAAGAGGAAAGCGGAAUUCCCAGUGUAGCGGUGAAAUGCGCAGAUAUCGGGAAGAACACCCGUGGCUAAGGCGGCUCUCUAGUACGGUACUGACGCUGAGACGCGAAAGCGUGGGGAGCGAACAGG
rnacentral:rRNA from 1 species